CAUAUUUUACAAGGAAAAACCCUGCUUAAACUUCUCUAAAAUGACUUUGAAGAAAAAGACAAGAAGACGAACUUCGUUAAUUCGACGAGAACGUGUUCAUUCAACGCCGACUUUAAAGUCACACCUUGGAUGUAAAAUUCGGCAAUCUCGAUAGAGUGGUCAUGAGGCGAUGGUAUGUGUCGACAGCAGUAAAC